AGUGCUGUGGCACAGCGGGUUAAAGCACUGGCCUGAAGUGCCAGCAUCCCAUAUGGGCCCUGGUUCUAAUCCCGGCUGCUCCU
rnacentral:tRNA from 1 species